rnacentral:rRNA from 1 species
AUUGAACGCUGGCGGCAGGCCUAACACAUGCAAGUCGAGCGGAUGAAGGGAGCUUACUCCUGGAUUCAGCGGCGGACGGGUGAGUAAUGCCUAGGAAUCUGCCUGGUAGUGGGGGAUAACGUCCGGAAACGGGCGCUAAUACCGCAUACGUCCUGAGGGAGAAAGUGGGGGAUCUUCGGACCUCACGCUAUCAGAUGAGCCUAGGUCGGAUUAGCUAGUUGGUGGGGUAAAGGCCUACCAAGGCGACGAUCCGUAACUGGUCUGAGAGGAUGAUCAGUCACACUGGAACUGAGACACGGUCCAGACUCCUACGGGAGGCAGCAGUGGGGAAUAUUGGACAAUGGGCGAAAGCCUGAUCCAGCCACGCCGCGUGUGUGAAGAAGGUCUUCGGAUUGUAAAGCACUUUAAGUUGGGAGGAAGGGCAGUAAGUUAAUACCUUGCUGUUUUGACGUUACCAACAGAAUAAGCACCGGCUAACUUCGUG